AGUGAACGCUGGCGGUAGGCCUAACACAUGCAAGUCGAACGGCAGCACAGUAAGAGCUUGCUCUUACGGGUGGCGAGUGGCGGACGGGUGAGGAAUACAUCGGAAUCUACUUUUUCGUGGGGGAUAACGUAGGGAAACUUACGCUAAUACCGCAUACGACCUACGGGUGAAAGCAGGGGAUCUUCGGACCUUGCGCGAUUGAAUGAGCCGAUGUCGGAUUAGCUAGUUGGCGGGGUAAAGGCCCACCAAGGCGACGAUCCGUAGCUGGUCUGGGAGGAUGAUCAGCCACACUGGAACUGAGACACGGUCCAGACUCCUACGGGAGGCAGCAGUGGGGAAUAUUGGACAAUGGGCGCAAGCCUGAUCCAGCCAUACCGCGUGGGUGAAGAAGGCCUUCGGGUUGUAAAGCCCUUUUGUUGGGAAAGAAAAGCAGCAGGUUAAUACCCCGCUGUUCUGACGGUACCCAAAGAAUAAGCACCGGCUAACUCCGUG
rnacentral:rRNA from 1 species